rnacentral:rRNA from 1 species
CAGUCGAACGAGCGAGAGAGAGCUUGCUUUCUUGAGCGAGUGGCGAACGGGUGCGUAACGCGUGAGGAACCUGCCUCAAAGAGGGGGACAACAGUUGGAAACGACUGCUAAUACCGCAUAAGCCCACGACCCGGCAUCGGGUAGAGGGAAAAGGAGCAAUCCGCUUUGAGAUGGCCUCGCGUCCGAUUAGCUAGUUGGUGAGGUAACGGCCCACCAAGGCGACGAUCGGUAGCCGGACUGAGAGGUUGAACGGCCACAUUGGGACUGAGACACGGCCCAGACUCCUACGGGAGGCAGCAGUGGGGAAUAUUGCACAAUGGGGGAAACCCUGAUGCAGCGACGCCGCGUGGAGGAAGAAGGUCUUCGGAUUGUAAACUCCUGUUGUUGAGGAAGAUAAUGACGGUACUCAACAAGGAAGUGACGGCUAACUACGUGCCAGCAGCCGCGGUAAAACGUAGGUCACAAGCGUUGUCCGGAAUUACUGGGUGUAAAGGGAGCGCAGGCGGGAAGGCAAGUUGGAAGUGAAAUCCAUGGGCUCAACCCAUGAACUGCUUUCAAAACUGUUUUUCUUGAGUAGUGCAGAGGUAGGCGGAAUUCCCGGUGUAGCGGUGGAAUGCGUAGAUAUCGGGAGGAACACCAGUGGCGAAGGCGGCCUACUGGGCACCAACUGACGCUGAGGCUCGAAAGUGUGGGUAGCAAACAGGAUUAGAUACCCUGGUAGUCCACACUGUAAACGAUGAUUACUAGGUGUUGGAGGAUUGACCCCUU